rnacentral:lncRNA from 1 species
GGCCUUCUCGUCUCUGCGCGUGGGUGUUUCGGCGCGUGUGCCGUUGCCCGGCCAGGCCCUUGCGGCAGGUCGACGUCGCACGUCGCUGGAGACUCCCCUGGUGGCCAUACAUGGAUGCGGCAGAGGGCUCUGCUUCCUCAUUAGAUUAAAUUUUGGUGUUGCAUUGUUGAGCACUUCAUGUGAAUGUUCUCUAGUCUCUAUUGUGCAGGGGGUUCUACUCUCCCUCUUGAGGCAAGUGUGGAUGUAAUGGAUAUUGAUUGUGGUUGUUUGGACAAAAAUAUUGCGUGCAAACAUUAUUGAGUACUGAUGGUGAGAUUUCCAAUUCCUUUAUCUUUUGUCCGUUUAAUCAAGAACAAUGUUUAGAGCUUACAUGGCUGUCCAAAUUUAGUUCUGUAAGAGAAAUAUUGAUGUCAUGCAAUGUUUAGUGUGGAGUAGGGCAGUUAUUUUUACAGAGCUGUUCCUCAGUUCUCAUUGAGCAAAGAUUGAAUGCGUGUGAUUUGAUCUACUACCAAGUCAAUCUUGGUCCACAUUGUCGGAGUUUUCUUAUUAAGUCUUUUUGUUGCUAUUAGUAUUUUCAUUUAUGCAGAGGGGCCGGGUAUAAUGCUUAAACCUUUUAAGUAAUAAAGCGCCCUUCAUUGAAAAAUAAUAGUAUUUUCAUUUAAACUGGAAGUUUAUGUGAAGAAGCUGUGUUGAAAUGUAUGAGUUUGUUUUCCUAUUUUUUUUUGGAAGAAUGAGACUAUCAGGAACAGUAUCAAGUUUGUAGCUGCUCAUCGUCUCAUCCAUAAAAAAGGUUUAGCUGCUCACGUAAUAUUCACACAUCAUUGGUGGCAUGUCAGUGGCAGGCGGAAGGAAGCUUUUUGACACAUCUCAUUUUUCUAGCAACUACAAGAAAUCAGUGAAGCAGUAGGAAGUAGGAACACAGUCCAGAAGAUUAUCUGAUGACAUGAUAUGCUACCAGAUGCCUUUUAGUGCGUAACAAAUGUAACUUCUUCUCCAACAAAAAUAAUAAUUAGAGGCAAAAAUAAUAAUGAAGCUUCUUGAGUACCAUCCCGAGAUACAUAUUUUAUUCCAUUAGAAAAUACAACUAUAUUUUGUUACAUUUAGGUCAUGUUAUAUCGUGCAUGUGUGUUACAGGUGUUUCUCUCUACUUUGUGCUCCAGAUUUGCUUUCCCUACAAUAUGGCAGAUUAAUGUAUAUUCUUGUGAAGUCAUAGUAUAUUGUUUAAUCUGGGGUUUACUCCGGUGUCAAGUGUACUAUAUUGCUAGAUUUAACUUUAAUCUACGCGAGUUGCUCUGUAGCUAUUUCAGCAUAAAUGGUUCAUCAUACUAGGAUUUAAUUAGUGAUCUAACUUCUGUUGCUUCUUGGUGAAUAUGAAAUAUAUUGCGUUUUCAUGGAAGCAGGAGCAGAGUAGUUGUGGAGCGGGUCGUGGGAGAGACGGUUGGUUAGCAUGGGCUGGACGGGAAGGUGAUGCUUGCGAUGGCGACCAAGCCGGCGGGCAAGGCAGGGGCGACCAUGGCCAUCGGGGUGUUUUCAAGGGAGAGCGAGGCAACCGCCAUCACGCAACUGAAGAAGUUGAAACCCGGGGCGAAGUUGGUCAUCAUGGCCAGCAUGAAAGUUGACAAACCUAAAUGCCGGUGAUAGGUUCGCUGCUGUCGCGCCGUCUUUAAACUUGGUGGAGACGCAGAAGCAGUGGCAGAGCUAGGAUCAAGCCACGACCCGGGCAAGCCCCAGGCCAAUCACUUGGUACAAUGCUAAACAGUGUAAAAUCCGCUACAGUAAACAAGCCUGAGGACCUAGGCCGCCGCCUGGGCAGCUUGGGGCUUGUCUCCGCCACUGCGCAGAAGGAGAGCGGUGGCGCUGUGAAGACCUCGAUGACUGCUGCCAUGACCACGACCAUGACGAUUGUGUUGGUAAUAAAGAUACUAAUUGUAUACAAAUCCCCCAGCUUCGAAAACAUUAGAUUAUCCAACUUAUUAUUCAAAUUUUUGAUUCAAGAUAAAUGGAAAUUUCCUAUAUACAAUGAGCUUAUUAUUGAAGGUUGCAUCGAUUAUGUUAUUAUUACUGAAAUAAGAGGCUUAUGAAUUUUUCAAUCUUUGUGUAUCUUGUAAUAGUGACUGCCAAUCUUUGUGUACCUUGUAAUAGUGACACAUGGAUGCGUGAAGUUGAGUGAUACUUUCUCUGUAAAGAAAUACAAGUGUUUAGAUCACUAUAAUCUAAACACUUAUAUUUCUUUACAGUGAGAAUACUAAUACUAUUUAUAAAUGGAUGAUAUAUAUCCAGUUAUAAGUUCUCGGGUGGCGAGCGAUUUGGCUGCUUAAGGAGAUAGGAAGAUUGCCGAGAAGGAAAAAAAGUGAAAGAGAAUUUAUAUUUGUCGUUGCAUGAUGAAAACUGGAUGUAACCGCUUAACCCGUACUUCUAAAUUAGAAGAAUAAUUUGAUCAAUGUGUCCAUAUUUUUACUAUUCCGUGGCAACGCAUGGGUAUUUUGCUUUUACCAGUAGCAACGCACAUGCAUUCUACUAGAGGUCAUCUCUCAUACGCUUCAGUUUUCACAUAGGCGUGCUAAGGAUCCAGAAAAUUACGAUCAUCUUGAUGUGAAAAGAGUCACUCUACUACAUUAUCUUAUAUCAUGGUUUUUAGGGUUCUUAUACCAUGUCGAUAUUCAAACAAAGUGUAGGCUGUGGACAAAAGAUUUGACAUUCUUGAUUUAGACAGUAUGGAGGUGUUUUUCUAUGUUAGCUAUUUCUUUUAUGUCAAAAUUGGCAAUACAAUAUGUGGUCUUAGGAAUCAUGCCGUGCGGAGGGUCAUCAACUCUAGAGAAGGGUAGGGGCAGGGGCAAGGGAGAUGCCUGACGGUGAGGCGGCAUGCCGCAUCGCGGCUGACUGCAGGUGGUGCUGUCAUCAGAGGGUGGUUCUUUUCUAUACAUGUGUAAUUUAACAUGCAUUAUGCUUAUAUAUAACUCAAGUAAAAUAUUUUAAAUGCCCGUGGCAACGCACGGGCAGUCUACUAGUAUUCAUAAUGUUGAAGCCAAAAGAUGCAGAGUUGAUAAUGAUAGUGCAACUUAUUUGUGGCACUACCGUUUAGGUCAUAUUGGUGUAAAGCAUGAAGAAACUCCAUUUUGAUGGACUUUUGGAAUCACUUGAUUAUGAAUCACUUGGUACUUGCGAACCAUGCCUCAUGGGCAAGAUGACUAAAACGCCGUUCUCCGGAACUAUGGAGCGAGCAACAGAUUUGUUGAAAAUCAUACAUACUGAUGUAUGUGGUCCGAUGAAUGUUGAGGCUCGCGGCGGGUAUCAUUAUUUUCCCACCUUCACAGAUGAUUUGAGCAGAUAUAGGUAUAUCUACUUGAUGAAACAUAAGUCUAAAACAUUUGAAAAGUUCAAAGAAUUUCAGAGUGAAGUGGAAAAUCAUUGUAACAAAAAAAAAA